GGAGAGAUGUCCGAGUGGUUUAUGGAGCUGGUCUUGAAAACCAGUGACUCCGCAAGGGGCCGGGGGUUCGAAUCCCUCUCUCUCCGCCA
rnacentral:tRNA from 1 species